GGAAGUAAAAGUCGUAACAAGGUUUCCGUAGGUGAACCU
rnacentral:rRNA from 5 species